rnacentral:ncRNA from 1 species
UACCUGGUUGAUCCUGCCAGUAGUCAUAUGCUUGUCUCAAAGAUUAAGCCAUGCAAGUCUAAGUACGAGCUCUCGUACAGUGAAACUGCGAAUGGCUCAUUAAAUCAGUUAUGGUUCAUUUGAUCGUACAGUUUACUUGGAUAACUGUGGUAAUUCUAGAGCUAAUACAUGCGAGAAGCGCCGACCUCGCGGGAGGCGUGCAUUUAUCAGACCAAAAACCGGCCGCGUCUUCGGGCGCGUUCGCCUUGGUGACUCGGAUCCACCACGCGGAUCUCAG